rnacentral:rRNA from 1 species
AACGCGAAGAACCUUACCAGGGUUUGACAUGCAUUUGCACCUCUUGGAGACAAGAGUCCCUUCGGGGCGGAUGCACAGGUGCUGCAUGGCUGUCGUCAGCUCGUGCCGUGAGAUGUUGGGUUAAGUCCCGCAACGAGCGCAACCCUUAUCCCUAGUUGCCAUCGGGUCAAGCCGGGCACUCUAGUGAAACUGCCUCGGAUAACGAGGAGGAAGGUGGGGAUGACGUCAAGUCCUCAUGGCCUUUAUGUCCAGGGCUACACACGUGCUACAAUGGUCGGUACAAACCGUCGCAAACCCGUGAGGGGGAGCUAAUCGGAAAAAGCCGGCCUCAGUUCGGAUUGGAGUCUGCAACUCGACUCCAUGAAGCUGGAAUCGCUAGUAAUCGCGGAUCAGAACGCCGCGGUGAAUACGUUCCCGGGCCUUGUACACACCGGUACU